AAUCGAACUCGGAGAUAGCUGGUUCUCCUCGAAAUAGCUUUAGGGCUAGCGUCAUGUAAUAUAGCCAACGGGGGUAGAGCUCUGUAAACGACUGGGGCGGGCAACUGUACCCACCGUUAACAAACUACGAAUACCGUUGGUGGUACCAUGGCAGUUAGAACAUCGGGGCUAAGCUCGGUGCUCAAAAGGGAAACAGCCCAGACCAUCAUCUAAGGUCCCUAAAUUAACACUAAGUGGGAAACAAGGUGAAAUUUCUUAAACAGCGAGGAUGUUGGCUUAGAAGCAGCCAUUCAUUUAAAGAGUGCGUAACAGCUCACUCGUCAAGAGAUUUUGCGUGGAAAAUGUAACGGGGCUAAAGUGUUAUACCGAAGAUAUGGAUUUCGUUAUUCCUACGGGUUUAACGGAGUGGUAGAGGAGCGUUCCUAUCGGCAGUGAAGCUCAAUCGUAAGGUUGGGUGGAGCGUUAGGAAGUGAGAAUGCUGGAAUGAGUAACCAUAAGAAAGGUGAGAAUCCUUUCGGCCGUAAGAGCGAGGUUUCCAGGGCUACUGUAAUAAUCCCUGGGUUAGUCGGGCCUAAGCCGAGGCGUAGCAGCGUAGGCGAUGGACAUCAGGUUAAUAUUCCUGAACCGGUUAUAAUUUGUAUACUGUGUACGGUAAAUUAGUCGAAGCGGAUUAUUGGUAUAUAUCCGUCCAACUUAGCGGGAACGCAAAAGGAGUGAAAGUUAAUCUACGGAUUAACGAUUUUGAUGAAAGUACUGGCUAGAAAAGCAGAUAUACGCGUGGUUAUAGCCGCCCGUACCGCAAACCAACACAGGUGCUCGAGUCGAGUAGACUCAGGCUUACGAGAGACCCUUCGCUAAGGAACUCGGCAAAACAGCGACCGUAACUUCGGGAUAAGGUCUGCCUCCGCAUCAUUCGAUGCGAGUCGUGUUUCAAGCAAUUAGGUUAAGAUUAAUGGUAUAUAUGAGUAUCUUAAACUUCUUUACCGAGAUAGACAAGUCAAAUGGCUUAGCUUGGAACGCGGAAACCUCGUGUCAAACGAUGCGGAGGCCGCAGCAAAAGAGCCCACGGAACUGUUUACCAAAAACACAGGUCUCUGCUAACACGAAAGUGGAUGUAUAGGGGCUGACUCCUGCCCAAUGCUGGAAGGUUAAGGGGAGCGCUUCACGGUGCGAACUGAAGCCCUAGUCAAUGGCGGCGGUAACUAUAACCGUCCUAAGGUAGCGAAAUUCCUUGUCAGGUAAGUUCUGACCCGCACGAAUGGAGUAAUCAUGUGGGCACUGUCUCAGCGAAGGACUCGGUGAAAGUGCAUUGGCGGUAAAGAUGCCGUCUGUCCAUGCCAGGACGAGAAGACCCCAUGGAGCUUUACUACAGCUUUACAUUGACACGGGUUACAUCAUGUGUAGCAUAGGUGGGAGGCUUUGAAGCAGAUACGCCAGUAUUUGUGGAGCCACAGGUGAAAUACCACCCUUGAUGUAGUCUUUGUCUUACCAUUGCCGUUAUCCGGUAAUGGGACCGUGUAUGGUGGGUAGUUUAACUGGGGCGGUUGCCUCCUAAAGAGUAGCGGAGGCGUUCAAAGGUUGGCUAGCUUCGGAUGGAAAUCGAAGUGAUAGUGCAUGCGCAAAAGCCAGCUUGACUGCGAGAAUUACAAUUCGACCAGAGUGGAAACACGGAGCAAGUGACCCGCUGUAAGAACAUUGUUCAUUGAAUGUGGGAUCGACAGCGCACACGGAUAAAAGUUACCCUGGGGAUAACAGGCUUAUCGCGCCCAAUAGUUCACAUAGACGGCGCGGUUUGGCACCUCGAUGUCGGCUCAUCACAUCCUGGAGGGGGAGCACCUUCCAAGGGUUCGGCUGUUCGCCGAUUAAAGUGGUACGCGAGCUGGGUUCAGAACGUCGUGAGACAGUUCGGUUUAUAUCCGGCAUGGACGUAAGGAUUCUUGAGGAGAUUUGUCUCUAGUACGAGAGGACCGAGAUGAACGAACCUCUGGUGUAUCGAUUGUGGCCACCUGCUGCAGUGUCGAGUAGCUAUGUUCGGUUAAGAUAAGCGCUGAAAGCAUAUUAAGCGCGAAACUGACUCCAAGAUUAGGAAUCCCAUGAGGACACAGAAAGAUGAUCUGUUUGAUAGGCGUAAGGUGUAAACCUGGUAACAGGCUAGCCAAAGCGUACUAAUAGUCCAAUCGCCUUUUUA
rnacentral:rRNA from 1 species